UGCGAUACUUGGUGUGAAUUGCAGAAUCCCGUGAACCAUCGAGUCUUUGAACGCAAGUUGCGCCCGAGGCCUUGCGGCUAAGGGCACGCCUGCCUGGGCGUCACUCUAUCGACGCUCCACACCCAUCCCCAUGGCAUGGGCAAUGGAUGCGGAAGUUGGCCCCCCCGUGUGCGAGGCACCCUUGCAUGUGGUCGGCCAAAGACUUUGGCUAUCGCGUGUCCCCAAGGACAUGAUGGGUGGUGGAUGCCUUUGAGCAUGCUUAAACAUUAUGCCUAGACACGUGUGCGGCCACGCACUAACCCCAUCUUCGGACCGCGACCCCAGGUCAGGCGGGACCACCCGCUGAGUUUAAGCAUAUAAAUAAGCGGAGGAGAAGAAACUUACAAGGAUUCCCCUAGUAACGGCGAGCGAACUGGGAUC
rnacentral:rRNA from 1 species